rnacentral:rRNA from 1 species
UACGUAGGGGGCAAGCGUUGUCCGGAAUCAUUGGGCGUAAAGAGCGCGUAGGCGGCCCAGUAAGUCCGCUCUGAAAGUCAGGGGCUCAACCCUCGAAUGCCGGUGGAUACUGUCGGGCUAGAGUACGGAAGAGGCGAGCGGAAUUCCUGGUGUAGCGGUGAAAUGCGCAGAUAUCAGGAGGAACACCAAUUGCGAAGGCAGCUCGCUGGAACGUAACUGACGCUGAGACGCGAAAGCGUGGGGAGCAAACAGG